AUUAGUAGUCAUCAUUCUAAUUUUCUGACUGAGGUUUCUUUGACACCUUCAUUUUUGGCUUUUAGAUAGUUUUGGUGGCCCUUUCGAACUUGUCGAACGUGUUUGUUUUAGCAUACCUUUGGCCUAAUCUUCAUUCUAAAAUGGUAUCCUCCCUUGAUAGGAAUUAUGACUUAUAGACCAUUUUCCAAGCCUAUUUUGGAUGUGUUUGGAAUCCAUUGGUCAACUUUUAAAUUAACCUGAAUUUUUUGGUCUUCUGGUUCUUAAACCCAUGUGGAAAAUCAGCAUUCACAUCUCCUACCAUUACAUAAGUUUGCAAAGGCUUUUUGGACUUAGCUUGAGCAUUAAAACCUUUUUCCAAUUGUAGCAAUUUUGGCAGUGGUGACAGCUCUAUUAGUUUCCUUUCGUAGUGUUUGAUAUAUUCUUCAUAGUGAGGUCACAGCAUCAACAAACCUUCUACGUCCUUUUUUCAUGAAGUUUAGAAUGAUUUUCAUUAGGAGGGCGUCGAAAAUCCCUUGGUCUCAUAGUUGCAGGCUUUCUGAAUCUAACAUUCACCAUGUUGGCAGGCAUUGUAAAGGAGUUACAACACCUAACGAUUGAUUUUUAGUCUGGCCAUUUGAGAUGUCAAUGCAUCACAUUCAUUAUUCGAGUUUUGCAUCAACGGAGUUAUGACUACUCCUAUCUGUUGAGUGAAAAUAUUCAUCAUUACAUGAUUACUAUCGUCAAGUUGUUGAUUUACACUUGCUAAUGUAUCUUGAGACAAUCCUACAACAUUAUUUUUGUUGCAGUCUCGACCAAAGUUACAUAAUUCGUUUGUAUACCCUACGAAUCGCGAAGUUCGCGGUACUUUUGCGAACCGGUUCACCAAAAUAACGUACACCUGUAACUCUUGUACUAAGAAUUGUUGUACUUAUAUAGAUAACUCAACUUCUAGUAUUUUAGAAACAACCGAUGUGGGACUACUUAGAAUUUUUGUACUCAUAUAGAUAACACAACAGUGACUUGAGCAUUAAAAAGCAUAUGUCCAUAUGGCAAAUUCGUAACAAAUGGUACAAAAUUUAACCAUGCAUCUUGUUAUUCAAAUUAUCUUGGAACA